AGAGCGAACGCUGGCGGCAGGCUUAACACAUGCAAGUCGAGCGGACGUAGCAAUACGUCAGCGGCAGACGGGUGAGUAACGCGUGGGAACAUACCUUUGGUUCGGAACAACACAGGGAAACUUGUGCUAAUACCGGAUAAGCCCUUACGGGGAAAGAUUUAUCGCCGAAAGAUUGGCCCGCGUCUGAUUAGCUAGUUGGUGAGGUAACGGCUCACCAAGGCGACGAUCAGUAGCUGGUCUGAGAGGAUGAUCAGCCACAUUGGGACUGAGACACGGCCCAAACUCCUACGGGAGGCAGCAGUGGGAAUAUUGGACAAUGGGCGCAAGCCUGAUCCAGCCAUGCCGCGUGAGUGAUGAAGGCCCUAGGGUUGUAAAGCUCUUUUGUGCGGGAAGAUAAUGACGGUACCGCAAGAAUAAGCCCGGCUAACUUCGUGCCAGCAGCCGC
rnacentral:rRNA from 1 species